AACGAACGCUGGCGGCAGGCCUAACACAUGCAAGUCGAACGCCGUAGCAAUACGGAGUGGCAGACGGGUGAGUAACACGUGGGAACGUACCCUUCGGUUCGGAAUAACUCAGGGAAACUUGAGCUAAUACCGGAUACGUCCGAGAGGAGAAAGAUUUAUCGCCGAGGGAUCGGCCCGCGUCUGAUUAGCUUGUUGGUGAGGUAACGGCUCACCAAGGCGACGAUCAGUAGCUGGUCUGAGAGGAUGAUCAGCCACAUUGGGACUGAGACACGGCCAAACUCCUACGGGAGGCAGCAGUGGGGAAUAUUGGACAAUGGGCGCAAGCCUGAUCCAGCCAUGCCGCGUGAGUGAUGAAGGCCCUAGGGUUGUAAAGCUCUUUUACCGGAAGAUAAUGACUGUACCGGGAGAAUAAGCCCCGGCUAACUUCGUGCCAGCCGCCGCCGUAAC
rnacentral:rRNA from 1 species